AGUGAACGCUGGCGGCAGGCCUAACACAUGCAAGUCGAGCGGCAGCGGGUCCUUCGGGAUGCCGGCGAGCGGCGGACGGGUGAGGAAUACAUCGGAAUCUGCCCUGUCGUGGGGGAUAACCUAGGGAAACUUAGGCUAAUACCGCAUACGACUUACGGGUGAAAGCGGGGGAUCGCAAGACCUCGCGCGACAGGAUGAGCCGAUGUCCGAUUAGCUAGUUGGCGGGGUAAAGGCCCACCAAGGCGACGAUCGGUAGCUGGUCUGAGAGGAUGAUCAGCCACACUGGGACUGAGACACGGCCCAGACUCCUACGGGAGGCAGCAGUGGGGAAUAUUGGACAAUGGGCGCAAGCCUGAUCCAGCCAUGCCGCGUGGGUGAAGAAGGCCUUCGGGUUGUAAAGCCCUUUUGUCCGGGAAGAAAUCGUCUGGGCUAAUACCCCGGGCGGAUGACGGUACCGGAAGAAUAAGCACCGGCUAACUUCGUG
rnacentral:rRNA from 1 species